GACUUCUCGCCUCACCUGAACGGGGGCAGGUGGGCCCGGGGCUGCUCCGGGGCGGGCGGGCGGCGGCGGCGCGGCGCUAACGGCUCCGCUCGGCCUCGGUAGCGACGGUAGCGGCAGCGGCGACGGCGACGGCGGCGGCGGCAGCGGCGGCUCCUCCUCAGCGCGCACGACCCGCUCCGGCCCGCGGCCCGGACACUCCCCCCCGGCGCACGCGCCCAUUGGUCAGUGUCCGCCACGGCGUGCUGUUCAUUGGUCGGUGUGGCUGUCGCUGCACCCUGGGGCGCGCGGCGGAGGCGGGACUUCCGGUCGGCGCCUCCUGAGAAGGGCCUGGCGGCCACCGGAGACACAGGUGGCCAGCGAUGGCCGCGGAGAGGUUGAGCUGGGGCCAGGGCCCCGGAGGCCGACUAGAGGCAGCGGCCCAGAAGAGGCGCUCCUUGUCCAACGCUUGUCGUGUGCCCCACAUUUGCCCAUCCCACCGCCGCUGCCGCCCAGCAAGGUAGGAGCGGUCAGCGCGCCAAGGAGAUGGGAACAGGACCCGGGUUCUAAUCCCGGGUCCCGACGUUUCCGCACUACGUGCAGUUAGGCUGACGUCACUUCGCCAGGACUCAGUUUCUUUCAGGGACUCAACAGUCACACAUUGCCAGUUGCUGCUGCAUCAGAACUUACAGUGCUAGAUAGGGAGGCAGACAAGAAAUCAGUGGAUUCCACCUCCAGUGGUGAAUUGGAUUGAACUGAGGCCCUGCACAUGCCCGGCAAGCUGAGCGACAUCCCAGUGCUUGAUCUUAUCCUUACUGCUAAUAAUAAUGAGGGACCCCAAUGGCUACAGUCUACAGAGACCACGCCAGAAAAGCUGUGGGGUGGCUAGGGAAAGCUUGCCUUGUCAGUGUCGCUGUUGAGGCACCAGGGAGGAGAAUAUUUCAGGCAGAAAGAAUAGCAAUGCAGGGCUAGGGAUUUAGCUCAGUGGUUCCGGCGCCUGCCGCGCAAGCACAAGGUCCUGAGUUUGAUCCCCGGUACCAAAAAAAAAAAAAAAAAAAGAAUAGCAGUGCCAAGUACAGCAGCACUCUUGUAAUCCUGGCUGCUCAGGAGGCUGAGGCAGGAGGAGGCCAGCCUGGGCAACUUAGACCCUGCGCAUCAGUCGCCUUGCUGUCAGUGGGGACAGAAUACCUGACAUACACAGCUCAAAGGACAAAAGAUUGAUUUGGGAUCACGGUUGCAGAAGUUUCAGUCCAUGGUCAGACAUGUUUCUGGCUCCAGG
rnacentral:lncRNA from 1 species